GUGUGCAUUCCAGCAGCCCACACACUAAAACUGGAAUGAUACAGAAAAGACCAGCAUGGCCCCUUUGCAAAAAUGACACUCAAAUUCAUGAAAUGCUGCCCAGCCCCCUUUUU
rnacentral:snRNA from 14 species